rnacentral:rRNA from 1 species
UACGGGGGGGGCAAGCGUUGUUCGGAAUUACUGGGCGUAAAGGGCUCGUAGGCGGCCAACUAAGUCAGACGUGAAAUCCCUCGGCUUAACCGGGGAACUGCGUCUGAUACUGGAUGGCUAGAGUGUGGGAGAGGGAUGCGGAAUUCCAGGUGUAGCGGUGAAAUGCGUAGAUAUCUGGAGGAACACCGGUGGCGAAGGCGGCGUUCUGGACUGCAACUGACACUGAGAAACGAAAGCCAGGGUAGCAAACGGG